rnacentral:rRNA from 1 species
GAUGAACGCUGGCGGCGUGCUUAAGACAUGCAAGUCGAACGCAGUCUUCGGACUGAGUGGCGCACGGGUGAGUAACACGUAACUGACCUACCCCCAAGUCGCGAAUAACCAGCCGAAAGGAUGGCUAAUACGUGAUGUGAUGAUCCGCUAUGGCGGAUCAUUAAAGACUUGAUCGCUUGGGGAUGGGGUUGCGUUCCAUCAGCUAGUUGGUAAGGUAAAGGCUUACCAAGGCAACGACGGAUAGCCGGCCGGAGAGGGUGGCCGGCCACAGGGGCACUGAGACACGGGUCCCACUCCUACGGGAGGCAGCAGUUAGGAAUCUUCCACAAUGGGCGCAAGCCUGAUGGAGCGACGCCGCGUGAGGGAUGAAGGUUCUCGGAUCGUAAACCUCUGAACCAACGACGAAAGACCCGACAAGGGAGAUGACGGUAGUUGGGUAAUAGCACCGGCUAACUCCGUGCCAGCCGCCGCGGUAAAAC